UGGACACGUGGGAACCCACUCUGACUGAUGCUGGAAAGAAGGGCGGGCCGGUACUAGAAGUAGCUGUGCUGGCUGGAGGUGGCAAUUCUGAAAGUGAUCGUAAUUGUAAUUGGGAGGAACCAUGAGGACAUCCGAGGGGGCUUUCAUCAUGCUCUUGUGGCUGCCGCUGCACUGGCUCAGCCGAGGAGAGAAUGUGGAGCAGAGUCCUUCCACCCUGAGUGUCCAGGAGGGAAACAGCUGUGUUAUCACCUGUAGUUACUCAGACAGUGCCUCAGACUACUUCCCUUGGUAUAAGCAAGAACUUGGAAAAGGUCCCCAGUUCAUUAUAGACAUUCGUUCAAGUGUGGCCAAAAAAGAAGACCAAAGACUCACUGUUUUACUGAAUAAGACGGCCAAGCAUCUGUCCCUGCACAUCGCAGCCGCCCAGCCUGCAGACUCAGCUGUCUACUUCUGUGCAGCAAGUGCACAUUGCGUCCCAGACACCUGCUGCCUGCACCCAAACCUGUGACCGGGCAGCCCCUGUCCUUUGACACAGAACUUCAAGUAGAUCGUUUGUGCUAUUGUUUGCCUGCAGGCGGAAGCUAAUGUGUUAGACAUUAAAGCAUAACUGAAGACAACUGGGAUCGAGAUGACCCAGACAGGGUUAGAACA